GCCCGCCUACCAGCCCGGGGUGCCGCCGCCGCGCAACUACGCCAAGUGCACCAACUACGUCCGCCUCAAUCCACGUGCACGGCUACCCUAGUAAGGAGCACAACGCUGCCUGCCAUUCGUAGAGGAGUGUGGCGAGCGUGUGCUAGCGACCGAGAGACUUAUCGUGUGGUAGUGACAAUGUGCAGAACAAAAUACUUGUGUGUAGCGAAGUGGCCAUGAGUGAGGUAAAAGAUAGAACGGUGCUAAGUGCAGAAUAAGACACUAACUUAUAGAUUGUCCUGUUACAUGUAGAUACCUUUUAUUUUUUAAAAUUCUGACUACUUUUUAAGAUGAGACUUAGCAACAAAAUAAUUGUAGUUUAAAACAUAUAAUGAAAAUAAUAAUAAUAGGUUUUAUUUUGAAAAACACACGUAUCGAGCUUAUGUUAUAAUGUGUGUGUGCUUUGCUGUAUAAAGCUGUUGAGUAAGUUACAAAAACUAAACAAAUCAAUAAGGGUCAAUUUAUACUAGCGCAGAGUCGAAGAAAUCGAAGCGAAUUAUCAAAACUGACUAGAAAAAACUUCAACCUUAACUUCAAAGCGUUAACGCACUUUAUUACUUCUGAGGAUUUAAAAAGACGCGCAUUCGCGCGACUUCGCGUGAAUGCGUCCGACCAUGGCCGAUUGGUCUCGCAGCAGUAAUGUGUGCGUUACGCUCUGGAGUUAAGAUUUUUCCUGUGCUCAG